GUGGCAGCCGCCGCGGUAAUACGGAGGGGGCUAGCGUUGCUCGGAAUUACUGGGCGUAAAGCGCGCGUAGGCGGCGAAUCCAGUCAGGCGUGAAAGCCCAGGGCUUAACCCUGGAAUUGCGUUUGAUACUGAUUUGCUAGAAUUCGAGAGAGGGUAGUGGAAUUUCCAGUGUAGAGGUGAAAUUCGUAGAUAUUGGAAAGAACACCAGUGGCGAAGGCGGCUACCUGGCUCGAUAUUGACGCUGAGGUGCGAAAGCGUGGGGAGCGAACAGGAUUAGAUACCCUGGUAGCCCACGCCGUAAACGAUG
rnacentral:rRNA from 1 species